AAGCUAAUAAUUUCUAGUGAAUUUUUUAUUGUGAUUAAAAAGUUAAUCAGCUAU
rnacentral:tRNA from 1 species